rnacentral:piRNA from 1 species
UCUGUCAAAUUCCAUAGAAAA